rnacentral:tRNA from 1 species
GCAUCUUUAGCCCAAUUGGCAGAGGCGCUCCAUUCAAAAUGGAGAUGUUCCUGGUUCGAAUCCUGGAAGAUGCACCA